rnacentral:rRNA from 1 species
UCGAGAAUCUUCCGCAAUGGGCGAAAGCCUGACGGAGCGACACCGCGUGCAGGAUGAAGGCCUUAGGGUUGUAAACUGCUGUCACGCAAUAGGAACGGCGUAAGGUUAAUAGCCUUGCGAUUGACUAAAGCGAGAGGAAGAGCCGGCUAACUCCGUGCCAGCAGCCGCGGUAAGACGGAGGGCUCUAACGUUGUUCGGAAUCACUGGGCAUAAAGCGCACGUAGGCUGUUUACUCAGUCGGAUGUGAAAGCCCCCGGCUCAACCGGGGAACUGCAUCCGAUACUGGUAGGCUAGAGGACGGCAGGGGUAAGUGGAACUCCAGGUGGAACGGUGAAAUGUGUAGAUAUCUGGAGGAACACCGGUGGCGAAAGCGGCUUACUGGGCCGUCUCUGACGCUGAGGUGCGAAAGCUAGGGUAGCGAACGGGAUUAGAUACCCCCGUAGUCC